CACAAUUAAAUUAUCAGAUAUGUGGACAACCAGCUGUUUGGCUGAAGAGGGAGAAGGCAACACCGAGGCUGUGAAGUCCUUCAUCUUGGGCUGGCCCACUCAGAACUUUGUGGCCACUUUCAAGGCUCAGACACAGAUUACCAGUUGUGGGUAAAUUCUGGAAAGAAAAAGGAAGGAUAUCCCCUUGUUGGACACGAAUACCCAUACGGGAUACUGAUGAGUCACCUUCGAGACAGUGAACUCAUGAGAACAGGACCAAAGGGCACGACCAGCACUUUGACCUUCCAAGAGCUCUCCCUUAUGGAAGAUCUCCCUCCAGAAAUACAGUGCCGUUUCAGCCUCAAGCCAAAAUGUCGGGCUGCAGCCCAGCAACACCAAGAUUUGGAUCACAUGAUAUCUACAAGAACAUGUAUCAUCAACUGGGCCUGCUGCUGUCAUUCUGGCACUGAACUGGAGAACUCACCUGUGUCACCACCAUCUUCUUCUCCUGCCCCAGGGAAGAUCUUCGGAGUUGCCCUGCCGAACAUUUGCGACUAUGGCGAUAUUCCUUUACCU